UUCCUCCUACAUUCCACCUUCGCCGACCGUAUAAAAAUGCGAACGUCUUUGCAUUUGUGUAGUCGUGUGCUCCGUUAUGCAUUUUGUUCCUGAGCCCGUGCACAAGCUCCAUUACGACAAAGGACCCCAGUGGCGACAAAGCAGGUGCCCCUAUGUGAAGGUCUCUCAACUGUCGCAAAGCUGGUUCAGGAGAUCACAUUCAUGCUCCUGUGGUUGCCUGUGCAACAGAAGACAGGCUGCGGGCGAGGCUGAAAGACUGGGCACGGAAGGAGCCUCACGUGCCUGUCCCUGACAUUUAUGAGCAGGAGCUCGUACCCCUGGACAGAGCACAUGUAUGUAGCAUUUCCACAGCAUCACAAAAAGUGACAUAGUAAAUUCAUGAGUCACACAUCUUUUGUGAUGCAAAAUGCCAGUACAACAAGAAUUGCAGAUGACAACAGAAACAAAGCUUGACGAUUAGAAAUACAGUAAGUACACACACACACACACACUACUAUACUGCAUACAACAUGGUGUAAACAAAAGCAUAAUAAUAAACAGACCGUACAUUCUUAUUACCUCAUGGCUGUUGUGGUGGUGGGCAGACCCCAUCCAAAUAUCUACUCGUGCCUGGAAGCGCUGCGCCAGAUCGAACCGGCACGUGUGGGGCACCUCCAAGCAGCAAAAGGUGCCAUUCAACGGCAACAGGCAUUCAGGUGGGGGAGACAACUAUGGACACAUUCCUCAGAAAAGUCCAGAGGUACUGCACGUCCUAGUUUCAUACAACAGCAACA